rnacentral:rRNA from 1 species
GACGAACGCUGGCGGCGUGCUUAACACAUGCAAGUCGAACGGAAAGGCCCUGCUUUUGUGGGGUGCUCGAGUGGCGAACGGGUGAGUAACACGUGAGUAACCUGCCCUUGACUUUGGGAUAACUUCAGGAAACUGGGGCUAAUACCGGAUAGGAGCUCCUGCUGCAUGGUGGGGGUUGGAAAUUUUGGGCGGGUGGGGUUGGAUUCGCGGCUGAUCGGCUUGUUGGUGGGGUAGGGGCUUACCAAGGCUUUGACGGGUAGCCGGCCUGAGAGGGUGACCGGCCACAUUGGGACUGAGAUACGGACCAGACUCCUACGGGAGGCAGCAGUGGGGAAUAUUGCACAAUGGGCGGAAGCCUGAUGCAGCAACGCCGCGUGCGGGAUGACGGCCUUCGGGUUGUAAACCGCUUUCGCCUGUGACGAAGCGUGAGUGACGGUAAUGGGUAAAGAAGCACCGGCUAACUACGUG